rnacentral:rRNA from 1 species
AUCACCCUCUCGUCGGGAGACCACAUGUUGUGACGAGCCUCAAAACCGCCACGGCGUGUGAUAUCAAGAUGAGGGGGAGCACUUUCGUGUCCGCUGGUUAACAUCAAUUUCGAACGUCAUAAAAAGGCUGGAGGGAUGUGGCUCCUUCGGGAGUGUUAUAACCUUUAGCGGAAUGUGGUGAUCGGGAUUGGGGAUUGCAACGAAUACCUUUAGGGCUGUUCCACCUGGCUUCUCUUUGGUAUCCUGGCGACGACAGCUUGCUGACUUUGUUAGGAUUCGCCUUUGAACAGGCUAGAGUGUGAGCAAAUUCGUUAAGGAUGUUAACGUAAUGACUUU